GCUGGGUGUGGUGGUGCAGACCUGUAAUCCCAGCAGCUUGGGAGGCUGAGGCAAGAGGAUUACAAGUUCAAAGCCAGACUUAGCAAGGCCCUAAGCAACUUAGGGAGACUUUAUCUCAA
rnacentral:sRNA from 1 species